AACUCACAGCCCCAAAGAGUUUGCAUCUGAGCUUCCUGUAGCAUCCUGGGGCACGGACAGGCGGAACCGGGCCAUCAGCCGUCCCUGCGCACAGAGGCGCACAGAUUGGAUCCGGCCUCGCAGUCCCAGGAGCCAAGAGGGGAGGCACGCGUGCCGGUUCUCGGAAAUUCAUUAUGGGAAUGUGCGCGUUGUGGAGAUGCUCAGACCGCGAACAGUACUGCGGGAACCCAAACGAUCAUUUUUAACCCCAGACGUCCCUGAACCAAAGCCAAAGUCUACAGGUCACUGGGGCAGAGGCCGCCCGAAACCAGCUGUCCCCUCCCGGCCUAGGCGCGCCAGGUCCCCGCCCAGCCGGGGCGAUCCUUUGGUCGGACAGUGAGGUUGGGAGCCCACCGCACCCAAGUGCCGCCGCAUCCACCCGGCGCAGGCGACCCCCGACGGGCAGCCGCUCACCUUCUCCU
rnacentral:lncRNA from 1 species